rnacentral:rRNA from 1 species
GAAUACCUAUCCGAAAGGAUAGUUAAUACUGCAUAAGAUCCAAGGAUGAAAGGGCAUAACUGCCCACCGAGAGAGGAGCCUAUCCACCAUCAGUUUGUUGGUAGGGUAAUGGCCUACCAAGACUACGACGGUUAGGAGAUGUGAGAGCAUGUUCUCCCAGAAUGGGACUGAGACACGGCCCAUACGCCUACGGGUGGCAGCAACAGGGAAUUGUGCACAAUGGACGAAAGUCUGAUGCCGCGACGCCGCGUGAAGGAUGAAGGCCUUAGGGUUGUAAACUUCUUUUGCCACAUGCGAGAGCAUGUGGAGAAUAAGUGCCCGCUAACCUCGUGCCAGCAGCUGCGGUGAUACGAGGGGCACAAGCGUUGUCCGGAUUUACUGGGCGUAAAGUGUUUCGUAGGCGUCUUUCUAAGUUAUUCUUCAAAUACCAAGGCUCAACCUCGGGAAGGGGAAUAAUACUGGAAGGAUUGAAAUCUUUCGGGGCUACUGGAACUAUUGGUGUAGGGGU